rnacentral:rRNA from 1 species
CUGCAGUCUGCAACUCGACUGCACGAAGUCGGAAUUGCUAGUAAUCGCGGAUCAGCAUGCCGCGGUGAAUACGUUCCCGGGCCUUGUACACACCGCCCCGUCACACCAUGAGAGUCGGGAACACCCGAAGUCGGUAGUCUAACCUCGUGAGGACGCCGCCGAAGGUGGGCUUGAUAAUUGGGGUGAAGUCGUAACAAGGUACC